CCCAUGCCUCCAAGAAAAGCCUCUAGGCAGGAUUCAUGUGCCCGUACCGAUAACCGACACAGGUGGACAAGUAGAAGAUACUAAGGUGAGCGAGAUAACCCUCGUUAAGGAACUCGGCAAAAUCGCCCCGUAACUUCGGGGAGAAGGGGCGCCCCGUUAGAGUGAAGUCCAUACGGAUGGAGCUCGAGGGGGCCGCAGUGAAUUGGUCCAAGCGACUGUUUACCAAAACACAGGCCUCUGCUAAGUCGUAAGACGACGUAUAGGGGCUGACGCCUGCCCGGUGCUGGAAGGUUACGCGGACCUGUUAGCUCUUCGGAGCGAAGCAGUGAAGCUAAGCCCCAGUAAACGGCGGCCGUAACAAUAACGGUCCUAAGGUAGCGAAAUUCCUUGUCGGGUAAGUUCCGACCUGCACGAAUGGCGUAACGACUUGGACGCUGUCUCAACGAGGGACUCGGUGAAAUUGGAGUCUCGGUGAAGAUACCGAGUACCCGCAUCAAGACGGAAAGACCCCGUGAACCUUUACUGCAACUUGAUAUU
rnacentral:rRNA from 1 species